AUGCUUUUAGGACCCCAGCAAAGAAGGAAGCUUAUAAUGAUGGACAUACCUAGCAUUUUCGGCCCCGGAGAUAGGUCCAUCACUCUCUACGAGGGCAUAAAUCAUCAUCCAGAUCCAGAUUCCAUUUUCAGGAAUAAGACCGUCGCACAGCUGGGAUGUGGCAAUGGUUGGAUAUCCAUUGCGCUUGCAGAACAAUGGUGCCCUUCCAGAAAAAGUACAACAUGGAAGUCAACCUGA
rnacentral:rRNA from 1 species